rnacentral:ncRNA from 1 species
UCAGCUGUUGUACAGGACAAGCAGAAUUCACCAAGUUUUGGAUUGUUCACCCACUACUAGGGAACGUGAGCUGUCUUUAAACCGCAGUGAGACAGGUU